rnacentral:misc_RNA from 1 species
AGAAUAUCCCACUAUUUUUGCAAUAUCUUCUCCAGUUUCACCUGGAACUGGACAUCCCAAAGUGUUGAAGAUUGAAGUAUGUGGAGAUUUAUUAGAAGGAAAUAUAAUUCGAGGCCGUGCAGAAAUCGCAUGGUGCGGUGGAACCCCAGGGAGAAGCAUUUCAAGUUGGUUAAGGAAAACGUGGAGCAGCAACCCAGUGGUCAUUGUUGGUGCUGAAGAAGAGGAAUAUCAGUUGAUGCUUGAUGAUGUUGGUUCGUGUUUGAUGUUUAUGUAUACUCCUAUGACAGAGGAAGGUGCCAAAGGAGAACCUCAAUAUGCUAUAACAGAUUAUGUGAAAGCUGCUCCCCCAUCAGUGGGUGAUGUACAAAUUUCUGGAGAUGUUGUUGAAGGAAAUACCAUAAGAGGAAUUGGGAGAUAUUUUGGAGGAAAAGAAGGACCCAGCAAGUUCGAAUGGUUGCGCGAAGAUAAGGAUACAGGGGAUUUUGUGCUGGUGUCAUCUGGUAUGAAUGAAUAUACUUUGACAAAAGAGGAUGUUGGCUGCUGCUUGGCUUUUGUUUAUGUACCCGUGAAUUUUCAAGGACAGGAAGGGAAAUCUGUAUCGCUUGUCUCGCAGAAAGUUAAGCAAGCUCCUCCUAAAGUGACAAAUCUAAAGAUAAUUGGUGAACUAAAGGAAGGCAGUAAAAUAACGGUAACUGGUAUCGUUACCGGAGGAAUUGAAGGAGCCAGCAGAGUUCAGUGGUUUAAAACAAGUUCAUCAACAUUUGAGGGUGAGAGCUAUCUUGAUGCAUUGAGUACGUCCAAAAUUGCAAAGGCGUUCCGCAUACCUUUAGGAGCUGUUGGUUACUAUAUUGUUGCAAAAUUUACUCCGAUGACUCCAGAUGGCGAAGCUGGUGAACCAGUCUUUGUCAUUUCUGAAAGAGCUGCAGAGACUCUUCCACCUAACCUUAACUUUUUAUCUCUGACUGGGGAUUACGCUGAAGGUGGAAUAAUGACCGCAUCUUAUGGUUAUA